rnacentral:rRNA from 1 species
UAGGGAAUCUUCGGCAAUGGACGAAAGUCUGACCGAGCAACGCCGCGUGAGUGAAGAAGGUUUUCGGAUCGUAAAACUCUGUUGUUAGAGAAGAACAAGGACGUUAGUAACUGAACGUCCCCUGACGGUAUCUAACCAGAAAGCCACGGCUAACUACGUGCCAGCAGCCGCGGUAAUACGUAGGUGGCAAGCGUUGUCCGGAUUUAUUGGGCGUAAAGCGAGCGCAGGCGGUUUCUUAAGUCUGAUGUGAAAGCCCCCGGCUCGACCGGGGAGGGUCAUUGGAAACUGGGAGACUGGGGUGCAGAAAGGGAGAGUGGAAUUCCAUGUGUAGCGGUGAAAUGCGUAGAUAUAUGGAGGAACACCAGUGGGGAAGGCGGCUCUCUGGUCUGUAACUGACGCUGAGGCUCGAAAGCGUGGGGAGCAAACAGG